rnacentral:rRNA from 1 species
UACGUAGGGGGCGAGCGUUGUCCGGAGUUACUGGGCGUAAAGGGCAUGCAGGCGGUCCGACACGUUUUGUGUGACAGCGGGUGGCUUAACUACCCGAGGAUACGAAAGACGGUGGGACUUGAGGACUCGAGAGGGACACGGAAUUCCGGGUGGAGUGGUGAAAUGCGUAGAGAUCCGGAGGAACACCAAAGGCGAAGGCAGUGUCCUGGCGAGUGACUGACGCUGAGGUGCGAAGCCAGGGAGCGAACGGG